UACAGAGGGGGCAAGCGUUGUUCGGAAUUACUGGGCGUAAAGGGCGCGUAGGCGGCCCGCUAAGUCGAACGUGAAAUCCCCGAGCUCAACUCGGGAACUGCGUCCGAUACUGGCGGGCUUGAAUCCGGGAGAGGGAUGCGGAAUUCCAGGUGUAGCGGUGAAAUGCGUAGAUAUCAAGAGGAACACCUGAGGUGAAGACGGGUUGCUGGGCUGACACUGACGCUGACAGCGCGAAAGCUAGGGGAGCAAACGGG
rnacentral:rRNA from 1 species